rnacentral:rRNA from 1 species
AUGGCGGGCUACGACGACAAUGAAACCAACGUAGUGGAGGAUGAGUACGACGACCUUGAUGAUUUCAUCGUCGGAAGUGACGAUGAGGGCGACAAUGUGGCCGAGGAGGAUGAAGAGGAGCUGCCCGAGGCUGAGGAGAUAGAAGUGGAAGAACAGUACGAGGAGGAAGAGGAAGAAGAGCCGCCUGCUGGCACGCAGGAAAUCCUUUCCUUCAGGGAGCAAUUGAAGGCCAAAUUAAGGAAACAACAUCAGUCUAACGGUGCCAACUACGGGAACCCUAGCUGCUCGUCGUCUGAUCAACCGCCGGUCAGGUCCAGAUUUGGCAACUUCUUUGGGCCGUCCACGCCAGUACUUGCUCCCCGGCUCAUCGAGGCGGGGUGCUCAUCGAUAAUGCAGGAGAACCAGAACCUGCCGUCCAGAAAACAUGCCGCUCCGUCGUCGUCUUCGAAGACACAGCCAAGUGCGAGCGCCCAUGAGCAGAAACCCAAGAUCGUACCUCAGGUGAAACGUAAGGUUGACACCCUUCGCAAGAACAGGGACUACUCGAACCUGUUCUCGGACGAUGCCGAUACCGCUUCCCCAACAGAGGAACACACAGAAAAUAAGCCUGUCAUGGCCCUAAAAUCUGAAGUCGAAGCUCAUCCGAUGAAGACGAAGCAUUCUGCUGCGACAAACAAGAAGGUGCUCACAAACCAUCCUGCCAGACCAUCAAAAGACCAUGGAUCCAUCCAGAACCACGCGCAAACAAACAAGGUGGUCUCUCAGGUGAAGAAGGAGCCACUCCCAAACGGGAGGAAACCGAUUGCUGCUGCCAGGAAUGGAUCCAGACCACCCAACGGCACCACCAAAGCUCGUCCAGGGUUGGAGCCAUCCUCAAAUGGCCAAAACCCGCAGCGCUCGAUGCAGAGCAAGAGCCCGCAGACGUUGCCUUCUGCCCAGCGGCAGCAGCAGCGGCGACCAAAACCACAGGGUCAGAGGCAGCAGAACUGCACCCCUCCUUCGUCGCAAGUUCGAAGGGUGAAUUCUUCUGUGCAGGGCCAGCAGCCUGCGCACAAGGGUUCUGCUCUGCCUCGGGACAGAACAAAAUUAGAGCAGAAGCAGCUGGCUCCUUCCUCCAAACCAAAGCCAUCUCCAACAAGUGCUGUUUACAGUGAUCCCGCAAAGAAAAAGGGUGUAGUGAAGAGGAAACUCAGUGACGCUGAGAAAGUUCGUCAAAUGGUCAGAGAUGUGUUCAACUACGACCCGGGCAAGUAUGGCAAGGAUGUAGAUGAUGAUAGGGACAUGGAAGCAGGUUAUGCCAGCAUACAGAUGGAGGAGAGAAGAAGUGCAAAGAUUGCAAGAAAAGAGGAUGAAGAGGAAUAUCGCCGGAUUCAGGAAGAAGAGCAGCGCGAGCGGGCGAAGAAGAAGAAGAAGCAACGUACAGAAUCGUAG